GAGCAGGAGAGGGCGGUGGAACUCCAUGUGUAGCGGUAAAAUGCGUAGAUAUAUGGAAGAACACCAGUGGCGAAGGCGGCCGCCUGGCCUGUUGCUGACGCUGAGGCACGAAAGCGUGGGGAGCAAAUAGGAUUAGAUACCCUAGUAGUCCACGCCGUAAACGAUGAGGACCAAGUGUUGGGGGUGAAACCUCAGUGCUGAAGUUAACGCAGUGAGUCCUCCGCCUGGGGAGUAUGCACGCAAGUGUGAAACUCAAAGGAAUUGACGGGGGCCCGCACAAGCGGUGGAGUAUGUGGUUUAAUUCGAAGCAACGCGAAGAACCUUACCAGGCCUUGACAUGGGAUGCGAAGACGCAGAGAUGCGUUGGAGGUCAACAUCCACACAGGUGGUGCAUGGUUGUCGUCAGCUCGUGUCGUGAGAUGUUGGGUCAAGUCCCGCAACGAGCGCAACCCUUGUGGCAUGUUGCUAACAGGAAAGCUGAGGACUCAUGCCAGACUGCCGGUGACAAACCGGAGGAAGGCGGGGAUGACGUCAAAUCAUCAUGCCCCUUAUGGCCUGGGCUACACACGUACUACAAUGGCGGCUACAAAGAGCAGCGAGACAGGGAUGUCGAGCGAAUCUCAUAAAAGCCGUCCCAGUUCGGAUUGGAGCCUGCAACCCGGCUCCAUGAAGUUGGAAUCGCUAGUAAUCGCGGAUCAGCAUGCCGCGGUGAAUACGUUCCCGGGCCUUGCACUCACCGCCCGUCAA
rnacentral:rRNA from 1 species